rnacentral:rRNA from 1 species
CCUACGGGGGGCUGCAGUGAGGAAUAUUGCGCAAUGGAGGCAACUCUGACGCAGCCAUGCCGCGUGCAGGAAGAAGGCGCUACGCGUUGUAAACUGCUUUUAUCCGGGAAGAAACCCCAGGACGUGUCCUGGGUUGACGGUACCGGAGGAAUAAGCACCGGCUAACUUCGUGCCAGCAGCCGCGGUAAUACGAAGGGUGCAAGCGUUAUCCGGAUUCAUUGGGUUUAAAGGGUGCGUAGGCGGGGCGUUAAGUCAGUGGUGAAAUCCUGCAGCUCAACUGUAGACUUGCCAUUGAUACUGGCGCUCUUGAGUGCGCUUGAAGUGGGCGGAAUGUGCCGUGUAGCGGUGAAAUGCUUAGAUAUGGCACAGAACACCAAUUGCGAAGGCAGCUUACUAAGGCGAUACUGACGCUGAGGCACGAAAGCGUGGGGAUCAAACAGGAUUAGAUACCCUUGUAGUCCUC